rnacentral:pre_miRNA from 13 species
UUUGUGUUGGAGUGAGUAUUCCUUAUUCCAGGUAAGAAAUCUUUGUGGUUUUCCGUUAUGAGACGAGAAAACUGAAGAGAUUUUUUACAGAUUUCUGCAGAAUUCUACUUGCAUU